CUUCAGCCAAAAAAAGCACGCUCAUCGUUUCCAGCGUUUGCUAGCACUCAGGUCCAAACUCUUAUGCAGUUCUCACACCUGCAUCCCAUGAAGAGGAUCAAGGCCCUCUCCUCCCCAGUAGACCACGUCUCUCCCUUAUCCUCUCCUCCCUGUGUGCCCUA